CCUACGGGAGGCAGCAGUGAGGAAUAUUGGUCAAUGGACGAGAGUCUGAACCAGCCAAGUAGCGUGAAGGAUGACUGCCCUAUGGGUUGUAAACUUCUUUUAUAUGGGAAUAAAACGUUCCACGUGUGGGAUUUUGUAUGUACCAUAUGAAUAAGGAUCGGCUAACUCCGUGCCAGCAGCCGCGGUAAUACGGAGGAUCCGAGCGUUAUCCGGAUUUAUUGGGUUUAAAGGGAGCGUAGGUGGAUUGUUAAGUCAGUUGUGAAAGUUUGCGGCUCAACCGUAAAAUUGCAGUUGAAACUGGCAGUCUUGAGUACAGUAGAGGUGGGCGGAAUUCGUGGUGUAGCGGUGAAAUGCUUAGAGAUCACGAAGAACUCCGAUUGCGAAGGCAGUUCACUGGACUGCAACUGACACUGAGGCGCGAAAGUGUGGAUAUCAAACAGGAUUAGAUACCCUAGUAGUC
rnacentral:rRNA from 1 species